rnacentral:lncRNA from 1 species
GUUUGGUCAUUCUUUUCACCUUUUCUGUCCCUUUUGAAACAGACUGGGGAAGCUUGGCUUAGAGGUGAUCCUUUCUGCUCAGCGUUGGUUGGGCUGCACCUGGAGUGCUGGGUCCUGUUCUGGGCCCCCCAGUACAGGAGAGGCCUGGGCACAUUGGGGAGAGUCCAAAGAAGGGACUCCAAGGUGGUGAAGGGGCUGGAGCAUCUCUGCUGUGAGGCUGGGAGAGCUUGGGCUGCUCAGCCCGGAGAAGAGGAGGCUCAGGGGGAUCUCAUCCGUGUCCCUAAAUCCCUGAAGGGAGGGUGCAGAGAGGCCGGAGCCAGGCUCUGCUCAGUGGUGCCCAGUGCCAGGACAGGAGGCCAUGGGCACAGCCGGGCACCCAGGAGGCUCCCUCUGAGCACCAGGCAGCACUGCUGUGCUGGGCGGGUGACGGAGCCCUGGCACAGGCUGCCCAGAGAGGCUGUGGGGUCUCCUCCUUGGGGAGCUCAAAAAGCCGCCUGGACGUGGGCCUGGGCAGCCUGCUCUGGGUGUCCCUGCUUGGGCAGGGGGGCACCAGGGGCCUCCGGAAAGCUGGGGGUUGGCAUGGGGGGAGGCCAAGGAAUGGGAAUGGAAGUGCCCAGAGGACGCUUUGGCACUAUGACACCUCUUGGCCCAGCUUUCCUGCUGCCCAGAGCACCAAAUAAAGAAAUAAAAUCCCAGCCUUGCUGCUGCUCAGCAUGCACAAAAGAAACCAAGCCAUUUCCAAACGCAACUGAUACUACACCAAUUGAUUUUUUUUUGUUAGCCUUGCGUCCCCUCAGUCCUAGCUACCAAAGGCCAUUUCUUUCUCCCAGCAUCCAAGGUGAAGUGGCAGAGGGCAGCCAGAAGCUUUCACAAAGGAUGUUUUUGGAGAUCACAGGCAGAAGCGAGGGCUGUGCCUCCCCGCUGGCUUGCCGGCCGAGCACGUUCACCUUCAGGGCACGGCGCCAAGCCCACCUGCUUACUCAGGAUUUUGCCAGCAAAGGCAGCUCUCAACGCACUGAUUUGUCCUUCGAAGACGCAUCCUAUUCUGCUUAG